GAUGAACGCUGGCGGCGUGCUUAACACAUGCAAGUCGAACGAGAGAAGAUCGGUGCUUGCACUGAUCCGAUCGAGUGGCGGACUGGUGAGUAACGCGUGGGUAACCUGCCUCAUACAGGGGAAUAACAGUUGGAAACGGCUGCUAAAACCGCAUAAGCGCACAGUAUCGCAUGAUACAGUGUGAAAAACUCCGGUGGUAUGAGAUGGACCCGCGUCUGAUUAGCUAGUUGGUGAGGUAACGGCCCACCAAGGCAACGAUCAGUAGCCGGCCUGGGAGGGUGAACGGCCACACUGGGACUGAGACACGGCCCAAACUCCUACGGGAGGCAGCAGUGGGGAAUAUUGCACAAUGGGGGAAACCCUGAUGCAGCGAUGCCGCGUGAGUGAUGAAGUAUUUCGGUAUGUAAAGCUCUAUCAGCAGGGAAGAUAAUGACGGUACCUGACUAAGAAGCACCGGCUAAAUACGUGCCAGCAGCCGCGGUAA
rnacentral:rRNA from 1 species